AGUGAACGCUGGCGGUAGGCCUAACACAUGCAAGUCGAACGGCAGCACAGUAAGAGCUUGCUCUUACGGGUGGCGGGUGGCGGACGGGUGAGGAAUACAUCGGAAUCUACUUUUUCGUGGGGGAUAACGUAGGGAAACUUACGCUAAUACCGCAUACGACCUACGGGUGAAAGCAGGGGAUCUUCGGACCUUGCGCGAUUGAAUGAGCCGAUGUCGGAUUAGCUAGUUGGCGGGGUAAAGGCCCACCAAGGCGACGAUCCGUAGCUGGUCUGAGAGGAUGAUCAGCCACACGUGAAAUGAGACACGGGCCAGACGUCGAAGGGAGGCAGCAGUGGGGAAUAUUGGACAAGGGGCGCAAGCCUGAUCCAGCCAUACCGCGUGGGUGAAGAAGGCCUUCGGGGUGUAAAGCCCUUUUGUUGGGAAAGAAAAGCAGCAGGUUAAUACCCCGCUGUUCUGACGGUACCCAAAGAAUAAGCACCGGCUAACUUCGU
rnacentral:rRNA from 1 species